rnacentral:lncRNA from 1 species
GACCUUAUCUAGUAGGUGUGAUCGCUGCAUAUAUCGUUGUGAAAUUAAACCACAAAUUAUUAUGGAAAAAAAAAUCAAUAAUACUCUUCUGGAUACUCGGCAGCUUGUGCAAUCUAAUAGUACUCUUUGGAUUAUAUCCGAGAAGAGUAUCAGGUUUAGGUGCUGUUUUUUACACUGCUCUCAGUAGAACUGUAUGGGCAAUUGGUAUAGCAUGGGUAGUAAUUGCUUGUUGUACAAAUAAUGGAGGUAUAGUUAAUCGUAUUCUUUCGUGGAAGGUUUGGA